rnacentral:lncRNA from 10 species
GAGAUAUCAGUGGACACCAUUACAGAUAUGGUAGAAGGAAGAGUCUCACAGUGGUUUCCAAGUGUGGUCCCCGGACCUGCAGCAUCAACAUCACCUGGAAACCCAUUAGAAAAGCAAACCCAGCUGUGGGCCCAGCAAGUUGUAGUUUAACAAGCCCUUCAGGUGAUUCUGAUGCACUCUCAGGAUUGAAAAGCACUGGUCUGGGAAAGACACAGUCUCCUCAGACCUGAAUGUCACAUCAUUCCAGGUGUAUACUUUGGGAGGUACACAGACCCACUGUAGCACCUUCAGAUGGUGAGAAGGAAGGCCAAUUAAAAGAAUGUCCAAAGAAAGGAGUACUCAUCAUGAGAUAAAACACCAGCAGAGGAAUGAAAGCUGCUUCAAACAGAUGCUGAUGCCUGGGCAGAGGAGUGCCAGCUGAGGUGGAGAGAAGG